GCAGUCUGCCGGUCUGCCGCUCAAUGCCUGCAUUGGGAGGAAAGUCCGGGCAACACAGGGCACCAUACUUCCUAACGGGAAGCUACCGGAAGGUAGAGUAACGUAACAGAAAAUAACCGUUCCGCCCCCCCCGGCGGAAUAAGGGUGAAAAGGCGAGGUAAAAGCUCACCGGGUGUUAUAGCGAUAUAAUAUGCCGUACGUCUUAUGGGUUGUAAGGUCAUGUAUACCGGCGCAUGUAGGGCGGCUCGUCCGAUGCCGGGGGGUAGACCGCUAAAGCCUGCCGGCAACGACAGGACAAGAUAAAUGGCAGACACGCAUGGUCAUUCAUGCGUACAGAACCCGGCUUACAGGCAGACUGCAUUU
rnacentral:RNase_P_RNA from 1 species